UUGUACGAAGCGUUCGUGAGUCUGCUCGGUGCUUUCGCUUUCGCUCGCCUUCGGUGCGUCAAGCGUCGGCGCCGCGAUCAUCGCACUGCGCGAGCCUCGCACUUUCAGGCGAGUGGAAGGCUUUUCGUGUCUUUGCGGUUACGCUAAGUGGUGCCCAAGCAGCGUCGGGACCAGAAGCACCCGUUCGUUCGGAUCCCAACUGACGACGAUUCUCAAGGCAUGAAAAUCACUCCAACAAGUCUGAGGGACAUGAAACCCCAAUAACCAAAAGAUCUUGAGAGGAUAGAGAAUACACAUACAGCAAAAAUAAGAAAGAACAAUGAAGUGGCUGGUCCAUCCCAUGGGCAUCAUGGGAUCUCGGUGGCCAGACCGAGAAAACCUGGUUCAACCCAUGAUUCACCUUGAUGGUGCAAGCGACGAGUGUCGGAAGCUCAUCAAGAGGCUAAGAGGAAUGAGAAAUACCCAAAUAGUCUGCAGAGAGCAAGGUCUACACAGUAUUAAGGAAUAUGUCUCUAAAGAUUUUGGUUCAGGUUCGUAAGGAAGCAAUGAAUAAGUUUGCCCGAAUAACAAUGCAUUGUGUUAACUUUUUAUUUGCAUGGACCAGUCAGAAUGACACAAGUUUUCAACUGGUCAUGAAAUCUUUCGGCUGUGCUUCUUGAGACCCUUGAGAGACAAUGUUGUCCACUGCAUCAGCAGGUGGCUCCUUGCAUGAUUUUUAUGGAGCAAGAUCAUAGGCUAAAAGAAGCCUCUAAGCAUCCACUUUGUUCAGACAAGUUGUUAGUCUGCUGGUGGCCAACAA